AUAAAAAGUGAUUUACACGGGGCCGCAACGGUCGCUCGGCCCGACUUCGCUACCCCGCUCUGUGCCCCCGUGGCCUUGGCGGGGAUCGUUGGUUCUGUCGACGCGGCGGGCAGCCCUCGCUCUCUGCCUCUCGUGGCUUUGCGGUCGUCCCUCCCCGUGGCGGGGGGGGUCUGUCCCGCUCGCCCGGUCGCGCGCCUUUUCGGCGCGUGGUUCCCGGGUCCGUGGCCCUCUGCGGUGCUCCUGGAGCGUACCGGGUCGGUCCCCAAAGGUGCCCGAGACCGAGCGGCGGCCGUCGUCCUCGUUCCCGGUGUCCCUCUCUGGUCGCUGCUGCAGUGUGCCGCGUCGUGUCCCUGAGCAGUCCUGAAUCCGGGGGGUCGAGGCGGUUGAGCCGACGGGCGUCACCCCGUGCCGCGUGGGCGGGCGGGGUGCCGCUCUGUCAGUCCCCACGGCGUGUGUGGUGGACCGGAAAGGCGAGAGCGGCGCGGUCCGUGCUUCUUCUCUCCCCGCUUUUUUUGGGAAUUUUUAAAAAUUAUAAAAAAAAAAAAAAAAAAAAAGUGAUUUACAACCAGGGCAAUGGGCCUGGGAAAGAACAAAUGCUUCAAUAACCAGGGUGACAGUAGGAGAUCACUGGCUGAUCUCACUGAUGGGUAAACCGAAUUGGAAAUGGAGCACCUGCCCACCCCUACCUUGCAGCCCAGCACUUUCACUCCAGAAAGCAGAGCUGGUUCCUCUUCCUCCAGGAGCUGACACAGACUGAGUGGAAGAGAGCCUCCACCAUCCAAGCCGGAGGCAUUUUCCCUGAAUGCUUACGAAGAGACAAAGAAGAACAAUUUCCUUUUCCAGUAGUUGAGACUGAAAUUUCUCAAGGGAACAGUGGCCAUAGGUCUACUCAUUUGGAGGAUUUUGAAAGCAGAGGCUGCAAGAGAACAGAAAGCUGAGGGAAGAGAGGACUGACUGUGAGGAUGAAGAGAUUAAUUGAUCUCUGUCAGUCUGGACUCUGAAAACCCAUUUGGUGGCCAUGGAAAGACCGACUACUCAGUGGACAACUUUGAUGACUCUAUUUGCACUUACUUUACAGAAUGCAGAAAUUCAGGAUGUAAUAUUACUAUAACUGACUUUGCUAAAGAAACUGGAAAUGAUUUCAUAGUUUAGCUACAAAUGAGGACCAGAAUGCCUCAUUGAGUCAAAAACUUUACCACACCUCCCAAAUGAGCAGUGGCCCUGGGAUUUUGUCUGGGAUGAUUUCCAAACAUGUGUUAAGCAUUAUUCAUUAUGGAAUUUUGUGUAAUAAAGUUUUUUUUAUUAAAUGAUCACUAGGACAUUUGUCAAUUAUGAUGGUUUCUUGGACCGUACUUGCUCCAUUCCUUUCCUCUUAAAGUCACACAUUCCUUUAAAAAUGUUUUAAAGUUUAGGGCCCUGAAAUGGAUGCCAUUUUCAGCAUGCCACUCCCCUGCCCCCAAAUCCAUAGUUAAUGACAUAAAAAAAGGAUGGGAAGGAAACACAUUGUUUUUUCCAAAUUUUCUUUGAGCAUGGAAUUUAUGAGAAAAAUGUAA